rnacentral:rRNA from 1 species
CGUCUAGGCGGGUUAGCAAGUCAGAUGUGAAAUCCCAUGGCUCAACCGUGGAAUUGCAUUUGAAACUGCUGGCCUUGAGUACGGAAGAGGAAAGCGGAAUUCCUGGUGUAGCGGUGAAAUGCGUAGAUAUCAGGAAGAACACCGGUGGCGAAGGCGGCUUUCUGGUCCGAUACUGACGCUAAAGCGCGAAGGUGUGGGGAGCGAACAGGAUUAGAUACCCUGGUAGUCC